rnacentral:rRNA from 1 species
AACGAACGCUGGCGGCAUGCCUAACACAUGCAAGUCGAACGAGACCUUCGGGUCUAGUGGCGCACGGGUGCGUAACGCGUGGGAACCUGCCCUUAGGUUCGGAAUAACUCCCCGAAAGGGGUGCUAAUACCGGAUAAUGUCUUCGGACCAAAGAUUUAUCGCCUUUGGCUGGGCCCGCGUUGGAUUAGCUAGUUGGUAGGGUAAAAGCCUACCAAGGCGACGAUCCAUAGCUGGUCUGAGAGGAUGAUCAGCCACACUGGGACUGAGACACGGCCCAGACUCCUACGGGAGGCAGCAGUGGGGAAUAUUGGACGAUGGGCGAAAGCCUGAUCCAGCAAUGCCGCGUGAGUGAUGAAGGCCUUAGGGUUGUAAAGCUCUUUUACCCGGGAUGAUAAUGACAGUACCGGGAGAAUAAGCUCCGGCUAACUCCGUG